GCUCUUGUGGUGUAGUCGCUAUCAUACCUUCUUUGGGUGUUGUCUUCGCUUGAUCUCGAUCAGCGUGGUAUCUUCUGGAGGUGGUCCCGGGUUCAAAUCCCGGCGGGGGCC